AACAUGUACACAGGUAUACUACAGUAUAUUUUUAGGUUAAGGUUUGAUGGAACCCCUUAAAGGUACACUUAAUAUAUACAUUUCCCAGCAUAUUUGUGGAGACUGAGCGUUCAAUCCCUGCC